rnacentral:lncRNA from 1 species
CAGUAAUUCAGGUGUUAUUAUACCUCAGCCUCCCCUCCAAAUCAAUACAUCUCAUGCAGAGCUCAUGUACCUUCUACUCCAACAACACAACUGAAGAUGACCAGUCGUUAGUGCUCUUUCCAAGAUCAUUGAGUCUUUCAUCUGUCUUUGGGCUGUAGAACUGAAGAGCUCUCCUCUUGACAAGUGGCAGUAGGCCAGUCAAACACUGAGCGAAUGAGUGAAGUCCAGUUUCUGAGGACUGUAGCCGCCAUGAGAGCUGCAGCACCAGUUAAACAGCUGCCUGACGCUGGUGAGGGCGGAGGUCACAGGUCACCUGCUUCUGUUCUGUUGGGUGAGCCAGGCGUGAUGAGAAGUCACACAGAGAUCAAAUCAAGUAAAACAUGACUAGGUAACUCCAAGACGAUAUGCAGAAUUGAGGGGUGAAACGAGGAAAAAUAAUGAUUAAGAUUAGGAAACACAAAUUGAGGAGCUCGCAUUUGUGCUUCUUGACAUCAUAGUGCCCAGCAGGGCCCCCCCAUUUCAGGGGGUCCCCUUGAAAAUGUGUCAUUUCAAACAGACUGAUCAGAAACUUCCUACACCAACAGACUUCCAGAAGUGUAAAUUAUCCAAACAAGAGUGAAUCACUGAGAAACACAAUAAUGUGUACAAACAAUCUGAAAGAAAGAUGUUUUCAGUCAGUAGAGCAACACGUCUGGUAGUAUUUUAGUGCUGAUAUUCUAUAAACUCCUGUCCUGUUUGCUUGAGCACACCGGUGUGACAUCAUGCCGAUGAAGCUUGUGUGAACUGAAUCAUGAAUCAAAUUAGCAUGUAGUAUCUGCUGAAAAUGUGAGUGUGAAAUUGUGUUUCUCUGAAGGAUACUCUGGGUGCACAUCUGCUGUGACUCUCAGGUAAUUACAGUGAUUAUUAAUUAUGAUUACAGGGGGACCUGCACUCAUGUGUGAAGUCCUGUUUCUCUGGAUUCUGGCUGUCGGGACAGUCUUUACAGAGGAAGAUGAAGAUGGUGUUUUAAUGUGGAUCUUCUUCUUGGGGAUCCUUGGAUUGCCUUUAGUGAAUUCCACUGCACUCGCAACAGAUUUAAUUCUGAAAGCAACUAAAGGCUACCGAGCUGUGAAAGAUCUUCGCUUGGUGGUCGUGCCCUGUGAAUCCCUCUUUGUGAUCUGCGGUGUUGUGCGUCUGAUGUAUAAUUACUAUAAGAAUAACAAACCCAGGAUUAAGGGAAAAUUAUCCACAUUACGGAAAUCAUUGCAAAAACAGCAGGUAUACUUCUCAAUUUCUUCUGUCCUGCUCUUAAUAGGACUGACAAAAAGACCAAUAGCAGCUGAGUCCAGAAAGCUGAGAGGCAUUUAUACUGAUGAGUGUUAUAAGUUUGCACUUGAUAAAACUGGAUCCUGUUUGUCCAGGGCUGAUGCCUGGGAAAGUUCUGCAUCAGGGAAAUCGAAAGUCAGUGUGCAGUGAAAUUUCCAAAGACUGUUUCAGUCGUCCU